UACGUAGGUGGCGAGCGUUGUCCGGAUUUACUGGGCGUAAAGAGCGCGCAGGCGGUCGUUCAAGUCGCGUGUGUAAGCCCCCGGCUCAACUGGGGAGGGUCACGCGAUACUGAUCGACUCGAAGGCAGGAGAAGGUAGUGGAAUUCCCGGUGUAGUGGUGAAAUGCGUAGAUAUCGGGAGGAACACCAGUGGCGAAGGCGACUACCUGGCCUGUUCUUGACGCUGAGGCGCGAAAGCUAGGGGAGCAAACGGG
rnacentral:rRNA from 1 species